GUACACGCUGUGACUAGCAUAUCAAUAAGCGGAGGAAAAGAAACUAACAAGGAUUCCCUUAGUAACGGCGAGUGAAGCGGGAAGAGCUCAAAUUUGAAAUCUUGAAAGGUCUACCUUGCACGAAUUGUAGUUUAAAGAAGUGUUUUCUGCUGACGAUCUGGUAAUAUAAGUUCCUUGGAAUAGGACAGUCACAGAGGGUGAGAAUCCCGUCUAUGAUUGCGAUUUGUAGCUUUGUGAUACACUUUCAAAGAGUCGGGUUGUUUGGGAAUGCAGCCCAAAACGGGAGGUAAAUUUCUUCUAAGGCUAAAUAUUGGCGAGAGACCGAUAGCGAACAAGUACCGUGAGGGAAAGAUGAAAAGAACUUUGAAAAGGGAGUUAAACAGUACGUGAAAUUGUCAAAAGGGAAGCGUUUGACACCAGUGUUGUUUUUCUGAAAAUCAAUUAAAGAACUGUUUAUGCUAAGCUGUUUAGACUUUAUCAGCUAUCUGUUUAGUUUUAGGCUUUUCUUUAAUGCACUUUUCAGUUAACAAGUCAACAUCAAUUUCUUUUGCUGUAAAAAAGCUUGAGGAAGGUGGCUUGAGAUUCGUCUUAAGUGUUUAUAGCCUCUUGCCUAUGCAGUCGGAGAGAUUGAGGUCUGCAGCGUAGAUCCUUCGGGGCUAAAUGCAUUUGUGCUAAGUUAUAGGCAUUUUAUAGACAACUUGUUGACUAUGAUUUGUCUUGUAGCUUACUCGCUUAUGUUAUUUUACCUACGCUUAGGAUGUUGACGCAUGAGAUAUACGC
rnacentral:rRNA from 1 species